rnacentral:tRNA from 1 species
UCCUGGCUGGCUCAGUGGUAAAGAAUCUGCCUGCAAUGCAGGAUACCUGGGUUCAAUCCCUGAGUCAAGAA